rnacentral:rRNA from 1 species
UAACGAAUAUUCCGCAAUGCGCGAAAGCGUGACGGAGCAAUGCCGCGUGCAGGAUGAAGCCCCUCGGGGUGUAAACUGCUGUCAGGGUUUAGGCAUCCAUGACCAGAACCAAAGGAAGGACCGGCUAACUCUGUGCCAGCAGCCGCGGUAAUACAGAGGGUCCAAGCGUUGAUCGGAAUCACUGGGCUUAAAGGGUUCGCAGGCGGCGCGGCAAGUAUGUUGUGAAAUCCCACGGCUCGACCGUGGAAUUGCUUCGUAGACUGCCGGGCUAGAGCACGACAGGGGCCAUCAGAACUCUAGGUGGAGCGGUGAAAUGCGUAGAUAUCUAGAGGAAUGCCGAAGGUGAAGACAGAUGGCUGGGUCGUCGCUGACGCUCAGGAACGAAAGUAUGGGUAGCGAACGGGAUUAGAUACCCCUGUAGUCC